rnacentral:lncRNA from 1 species
AAACCAUAUCCAUGAGCAUGGGCCAGAAACACAGUGGUUGGUGGUGCUACUAAAACAAAUGUAUGCACACUUCCUAUGCAGCAGCUACUGUCUUCAAUUCUUGAAAGCUCUAGCACCAUAUCAAGUGAUAUAAUUGCCUCCAUCAGCUGUGGCCCAAUUUACUUGCUUACAUUUGGGGGAGCAUAUCAUCACAUUCCCUGUGAAGGAGGAGAAAUAGCCCUCAAAAUCAGAGGUUGGUCCUACACCAGCAUUGACCACACAGGAAGAUAUGGAGCCACCAGUG